UUAAAGGUAUUUUCCGGUAGACGAUGGGGAUGCGUUCCAUUAGAUAGUCGGAGGGGUAACGGCCCACCUAGUCAACGAUGGAUAGGGGUUCUGAGAGGAAGGUCCCCCACAUUGGAACUGAGACACGGUCCAAACUCCUACGGGAGGCAGCAGUGAGGAAUAUUGGUCAAUGGGCGAUGGCCUGAACCAGCCAAGUAGCGUGAAGGAUGACUGCCCUAUGGGUUGUAAACUUCUUUUAUAAAGGAAUAAAGUCGGGUAUGCAUACCCGUUUGCAUGUACUUUAUGAAUAAGGAUCGGCUAACUCCGUGCCAGCAGCCGCGGUAAUACGGAGGAUCCGAGCGUUAUCCGGAUUUAUUGGGUUUAAAGGGGGCGUAGAUGGAUGUUUAAGUCAGUUGUGAAAGUUUGCGGCUCAACCGUAAAAUUGCAGUUGAUACUGGAUGUCUUGAGUGCAGUUGAGGCAGGCGGAAUUCGUGGUGUAGCGGUGAAAUGCUUAGAUAUCACGAAGAACUCCGAUUGCGAAGGCAGCCUGCUAAGCUGCAACUGACAUUGAGGCUCGAAAGUGUGGGUAUCAAACAGGAUUAGAUACCCUGGUAGUCCACACGGUAAACGAAGAAUACUCGCUGUUUGCGAUAUACGGCAAGCGGC
rnacentral:rRNA from 1 species